GAUGAAGAACGCAGCGAAAUGCGAUACGUAAUGUGAAUUGCAAAUUCAGUGAAUCAUCGAGUCUUUGAACGCACAUUGCGCCCCCUGGUAUUCCGGGGGGCAUGCCUGUCCGAGCGUCAUUGCUGCCCUCAAGCACGGCUUGUGUGUUGGGCCCCGUCCUCCGAUCCCGGGGGACGGGCCCGAAAGGCAGCGGCGGCACCGCGUCCGGUCCUCGAGCGUAUGGGGCUUUGUCACCCGCUCUGUAGGCCCGGCCGGCGCUUGCCGAUCAACCCAAAUUUUUUAUCCAGGUUGACCUCGGAUCAGGUAGGGAUACCCGCUGAACUUAAGCAUAUCAAUAAGCGGAAGA
rnacentral:misc_RNA from 1 species